rnacentral:rRNA from 1 species
GAUGAACGCUGGCGGCGUGCCUAAUACAUGCAAGUAGAACGCUGAAGGAAGGAGCUUGCUCUUUCCGGAUGAGUUGCGAACGGGUGAGUAACGCGUAGGUAACCUGCCUGGUAGCGGGGAUAACUAUUGGAAACGAUAGCUAAUACCGCAUAACAGUAGAUGUUGCAUGAUAUCUACUUAAAAGGUGCAAUUGCACCACUACCAGAUGGACCUGCGUUGUAUUAGCUAGUUGGUGAGGUAACGGCUCACCAAGGCGACGAUACAUAGCCGACCUGAGAGGGUGAUCGGCCACACUGGGACUGAGACACGGCCCAGACUCCUACGGGAGGCAGCAGUAGGGAAUCUUCGGCAAUGGACGGAAGUCUGACCGAGCAACGCCGCGUGAGUGAAGAAGGUUUUCGGAUCGUAAAGCUCUGUUGUAAGAGAAGAACGAGUGUGAGAGUGGAAAGUUCACACUGUGACGGUAUCUUACCAGAAAGGGACGGCUAACUACGU